rnacentral:rRNA from 1 species
ACGCUGGCGGCAGGCCUAACACAUGCAAGUCGAGCGGAUGAAGGGAGCUUGCUCCUGGAUUCAGCGGCGGACGGGUGAGUAAUGCCUAGGAAUCUGCCUGGUAGUGGGGGACAACGUUUCGAAAGGAACGCUAAUACCGCAUACGUCCUACGGGAGAAAGCAGGGGACCUUCGGGCCUUGCGCUAUCAGAUGAGCCUAGGUCGGAUUAGCUAGUUGGUGAGGUAAUGGCUCACCAAGGCGACGAUCCGUAACUGGUCUGAGAGGAUGAUCAGUCACACUGGAACUGAGACACGGUCCAGACUCCUACGGG